AUGGAAGAAGAAAUGGAGGCUCACAGCGCAGUGGUGGAGGAGGGCUUCUCCCAUGUCACCCGCAAGGGUGGCUGGCUGGCGAAGAAACGACAGGCUGAUCAGCUGUCGGCAACCGGGGAGGGCGAGGACGCGAGCGGUAUGAUCACAGGGGAGGCCCGGCCAUGAAGAGGCCCGUGUUCCCGCCCCUCACGGGGGACGGUUUCCUGAGUGGGAAAGGAGAAAUAAGAAAAAUUCCAGUCCCAGCUAACAGAUACACACCGCUAAAAGAAAACUGGAUGAAAAUAUUUACUCCUAUAGUAGAGCAUUUGGGACUCCAGAUACGCUUUACCUUAAAAUCAAGGAAUGUAGAAAUCAGGACUUGUAAAGAAACUAAGGAUGUUAGUGCUCUGACAAAAGCAACCGAUUUUGUGAAAGUCUUUAUCCUUGGGUUUCAGGUGGAGGAUGCAUUUGCCCUCAUCAGGUUGGAUGAUCUGUUCCUAGAGUCUUUUGAAAUGACAGAUGUUAAGCCUCUAAAGGGAGACCAUCUGUCCAGAGCAAUAGGAAGAAUUGCUGGCAAAGGAGAAAAAACUAAAUUCACCAUAGAGAAUGUGACACGGACUCGGAUAGUUUUGACUGAUGUGAAAGUUCAUAUCCUUGGCUCUUUCCAAAACAUCAAGAUGGCAAGAACUGCUAUUUGCAACCUCAUCUUGGGAAAUCCUCCAUCAAAGGUUUAUGGCAAUAUUCGAGCUGUGGCUAGCAGAGCAGCAGAUCGAUUGUAAUUUCAAAUCAGAAAUUACAAUUAUCUUUGGACUCCAAGAAAAAGACAUUGCAUUCUACAAUUGGUCUCAAGAAACCAUGUGAAGAAUUUUCAGUCACUUUAAGCCUCAGUCACUUCUUCCAUUCUCUGCCAGAGCAUAAACAGAAAGAUUUAAUAGCCUUCACACACCACAGCUUUUAGAGGAGUAUUUACAUAUGAAAAUUUAAUACUUUUAUUAUUCUUACACAUUAGGUAUAAUUUAUAAUUACUUUUCAUUUUAAGUCACACAUAGCAGAUCUAUGUAGCUUGUAAUCCUCUCACUUGGAGGGAGGCUUCUUGCUUAAACAGUUCUGUGUGAA